rnacentral:rRNA from 1 species
CAGCUCGUGCCGUGAGGUGUUGGGUUAAGUCCCGCAACGAGCGCAACCCCUAUCGUCGGUUACAGGUUUCCGGCGAGACUGCCGCGAUCAACGCGGAGGAAGGUGGGGAUGACGUCAAGUCAGCACGGCCCUUACGUCCUGGGCUACACACACGCUACAAUGGUCGGAAACAAAGGGUUGCCAACCCGCGAGGGGGAGCUAAUCCCGACAAAACCGGUCUCAGUUCGGAUUGCAGGCUGCAAUUCGCCUGCAUGAAGGUGGAGUUGCUAGUAACCGUGGGUCAGCACACCACGGUGAAUACGUUCCCGGGUCUUGUA